rnacentral:rRNA from 1 species
AUUGAACGCUGGCGGCAGGCCUAACACAUGCAAGUCGAGCGGAUGAUGGGAGCUUGCUCUCUGAUUUAGCGGCGGACGGGUGAGUAAUGCCUAGGAAUCUGCCUGGUAGUGGGGGAUAACGUUCCGAAAGGAACGCUAAUACCGCAUACGUCCUACGGGAGAAAGCGGGGGAUCUUCGGACCUCGCGCUAUCAGAUGAUCUUAGGUCGGAUUAGCUAGUUGGUGAGGUAAAGGCUAACCAAGGCGACGAUCCGUAACUGGUCUGAGAGGAUGAUCAGUCACACUGGAACUGAGACACGGUCCAGACUCCUACGGGAGGCAGCAGUGGGGAAUAUUGGACAAUGGGCGAAAGCCUGAUCCAGCCAUGCCGCGUGUGUGAAGAAGGUCUUCGGAUUGUAAAGCACUUUAAGUUGGGAGGAAGGGUUGUAGAUUAAUACUCUGCAAUUUUGACGUUACCGACAGAAUAAGCACCGGCUAACUUCGUGCCAGCCGCCGCUGUAACAC